CUUACACAUGCAAGUCGAGGGGUAACAGGGAGCUUGCUCCGCUGACGACCGGCGCACGGGUGCGUAACGCGUAUAGAAUCUACCUUACACUGAGGGAUAGCCUUUGGAAACGAAGAUUAAUACCUCAUAGUAUCAUUUUUUGGCAUCAUUAAAUGAUUAAAGGUUACGGUGUAAGAUGACUAUGCGUCCUAUUAGCUUGAUGGUAAGGUAACGGCUUACCAUGGCUACGAUAGGUAGGGGCCCUGAGAGGGGGAUCCCCCACACUGGUACUGAGACACGGACCAGACUCCUACGGGAGGCAGCAGUGAGGAAUAUUGGACAAUGGAGGCAACUCUGAUCCAGCCAUGCCGCGUGAAGGAUGACUGCCCUAUGGGUUGUAAACUUCUUUUAUACAGGAAGAAACGGUUCCACGUGUGGGACUUUGACGGUACUGUAUGAAUAAGCACCGGGCUAACUCCGUGCCAGCAGCCGCGGUAAUACGGAGGGUGCAAGCGUUAUCCGGAAUCAUUGGGUUUAAAGGGUCCGUAGGCGUACUAAUAAGUCAGA
rnacentral:rRNA from 1 species